AUAUGGUCAAGCGAGAAAGGGUCCAUGGUGGAUGCCUUGGCGCUAUCCGACGAAGAAGGCCGCGGUAAGCUGCGAAAAGCCAGGGUUAGGAGCAAACAUCCGUUUGACCCCUGGGUAGCCGAAUGGGGUAACCCGGCAAGUUGUUAAUACUUGUCAUCGUGCACUGAAUUCAUAGGUGUACGAAGUGAGACACAGGGAACUGAACCAUCUAAGUACCUGCAGGAAAAGAAAUCGCAGAGAUUCCCUUAGUAGCGGCGAGCGAAGCGGGAAGAGCCUAAACUUGAACUGUGUGAUAGACGUCAGUCGUUGCAGUUUGGGGGUUGUAGGAUCUUACGUCUGGGUUCUGACGGACCUGGGUUGAGUUAGAAAACUGAUGCAUAGUGGAACGUCACUGGAAAGGACGGCCAAAGAGGGUGAUAGUCCCGUACGCGAAAUGCAAGCAGUCUCAUAGUAAGACACCUGAGUAAGACGGAUCACGAGGAAUUUUGUCUGAAGCUAGGGAGCCCACUCUCUAAGGCUAAAUACGAGAUAGCGACCGAUAGUGAACGAGUACCGUGAGGGAAAGG
rnacentral:rRNA from 1 species